GUCCUGGCUUAUGGUCCCAUGUGACCUUGUGUCCGUUAAGCCCAAAUUAUGAGUGCCUUUAGCAAGUGUUAGCAUUUCACAGAGGGUAGAAAUGACAGAAUUUACUGCCAUUAACCACAGUUCAUAAAGUAGCUCAAAAUAGUAAAGGUCCUUGUGAAUUCCUGUUCUUUGUCUCCCCAUCCCCCUUAGUACAAUCUAAACUUACUAUUGGGUAAAACUGCAUUCUGAGCAGGAACCUGGGUGUCAUGGCUGGCAGUAGUCACCUGGACAGGCUAUAUCCUGGUUGCUGUGGCUGGCAGUAGUCACCUGGUGGGAAGGGAGGCUAUGUUCUGGUUGUUGUGGCUAGCAUUUGGCCUGGAUGGUUGUGUUGGAUGAUGCAUUGGUUGAGAUGUUGAUGUUGGAAAAAAAACUUCCUGCUGAUUGUGCUCCAACUUGGUUCUUCUGUAGAGAGGGGAGAUUGUGUAACUGCAAAUAAAGUGCAUUGAGGGACUGCCUGGGACAGUAGCUCCGGGUCACACUGUACAUCCACAGGGUCAUCUCAUGUGGAUGGAGGGGCCUUUCCGAGCAAGCUUGAGGCCUUUGAAAACAACAGUUUCCUUACUUCGAUUAACCAAAAACUUCAAAUUUCCUGAGUCUUUACAAUCUUUUGAACGUACGAUUAAACUAAUUUUGGGGUAGAAAUAGCAAUGCUUGCCUCAAGAUUUUAUUAUGAAGAAUUUCUGGUAUUUGUGAAAGUGAAAAAUGUUCGGCACAUACCUAACUGUGUCUUCUUGUCAACCUUUCCCCACUUGUAUUCCCACAUUUCUUCCCAUGAGCCCAUCACUGUAUUCAUCUGUCUGCCCACCACGAUUCAUGUCUUAGCAUCAGUUUCAGACAUGACCAUACUGUAGGUGUCAUGCACUAGGAUUUAACAUUUAACUGUUAAUACAUUAGGAAAGCCUCAUGUGUAGGUCAUAACUUGAGCCAGUGAACACUCAUAGUUCGCUCCUGUGGACUUCAGUCUUCCUUGUUUCUGUUCCUGAGUGUGCUUAGAGUUUCCAGCAAGUCUGCACCAGGUUACUGGCCCUAAAGAUUACAUUCAUGACAGGACUUGCUGUGAACCUAUGACUCUGUGACCACUUGCCUCCUGUCAUGUACAUAGCAGAGUCAACACUGAGACAACAGUCCUGUCCACUGAGGGGUGGGUGAGCCUUAGGGCAGUUUGCAGCCAGUCAUGCUGAGGAAAACUGCCCUCUGUCUCCAUCCUGUUCCCACCUCUGUGGACAGCUCUGCAGGGCUGAAGGCACUGGCUCCAGGUCAGGGAGACUGGAUGGGCAGAUGAAGCAGAGCUCAAAUUUCAGUGUUUCUGGGUUGUAAUCUUAGGCUUCCAAUUAACUGGAUGUUCCUUUUGGGCUCUUAGAAGGACAGCAUUUAUUUUUAUGAAUUAGAAUUUUAUUUUUUAGUAUUUCACAAUUCUUUUGACAUAAAGAUAUUCUCAUGGUCAUUUGUUGUUGUUUUGUAAAGUUCCAUCUAGCCCAGGCUAGUCUUAAUUCUAUCUACUAUGUAGCCGAGGAUGACCUUGAACUCCCAAUCCUCCUGCCUCCACCUCUUGGUGCUGGGUUUACAGGCCUGUACCACCAUGCCAGGCUAUAAUCGUAGUUAAGUCCAAAGCAAUUGCUAAAAUCUCACUGCACUGUUGAAUACCAACUAAUGCAGUGUCUGUCUGAUUUCUUUUUUGUCUUUAGAUGGCUUUCACGAUCACUCUGUCAAUGUAAGUAACCCCACCCUAGUGAAAAUGGUGUUCGUGCACUCUCUACCUGAUUCUUUUUUUCUUUUUUUAAGAAAACAACUUCAUAUGUCAAGAUGAGUGAUACUAUCUUAGGGCAAAGCCCAUACUUGGGAACAAACCUCUUGGAAGUGGCUGGUCAUUGUUCUGCCUUUUUUGGUACCUGAAUACCUGCCAAAGGUUCUGUAAGCCAGUGUGUCAUUUUGUAAGUCUCAUGGUGACUCUCUGCUCACCUGUGGUACCCAGUCAACUGCAGUGACUUGGUGGGGGUUUGGUGUGGCCUCUUUGAAAUGCCUUACUGGAUAUGCCAGGCUCUGCUGUCAAGCAUCCCAGCUGUUCACUGAGACCCACAUGUCCUCUUUGGGAUGUGUGCUCUUGAUCCGGAAGCAAAGCUGUCCUCACUUUCAGUAUCAAGGGUACAUCUUAAUGCAGUGGUUGUCUUAAGUUAGAAGUAGAAAGCUGAGAGAGUUUGGAACGCUUCACGUGAUCACAUGGCAAACUGUAAAUGUGCUUUGCUAUUUCACCAGAAAGAAUGCAGCUAACAAGUGCCCGUCCAGACCAGGGAAGUGGGGCUGUGCUGUGUAAGGCUCUCCACUUGUCUCUCGGGGCUUGAAGGUCUGAGCAGGCUGCCAGGCAUCGGGUCAGUCUCUGUUUGCAGACCUCCUGCUCGGGGGUUCCAGAGCUGACUGACACAUUACUGAAUUCAAACCAAUCAACUGUGAAUUGUGAAAUUGAAAUUGCUCUUUUAGUUUUAUUUUCUUCCGCUUCUUAAAUCUAGAAGUCUGAAUGUUAUUUACGCUUCUACUGCUUAUGUUGACGGCUCAUCUUGGCUGUGUAUCCUCACGUAUGUACUGAUUCCUUCCUGAAAAAGGCUUGAUGAUACUGUAACAAGCUUUUUGUGUUCAGUUUAAUAAAAUGGUUUUUG
ensembl:lncRNA